rnacentral:rRNA from 1 species
GCAUAUCCAAUAGCGGAGGAAAAGAAACCAACAGGGAUUGCCUUAGUAACGGCGAGUGAAGCGGCAAAAGCUCAAAUUUGUAAUCUGGCACCUUCGGUGUCCGAGUUGUAAUUUGAAGAAGGUAACUUUGGCUUUGGCUCUUGUCUAUGUUCCUUGGAACAGGACGUCACAGAGGGUGAGAAUCCCGUGCGAUGAGAUGCCCAUUGCUAUGUAAAGUGCUUUCGAAGAGUCGAGUUGUUUGGGAAUGCAGCUCUAAGUGGGUGGUAAAUUCCAUCUAAAGCUAAAUAUUGGCGAGAGACCGAUAGCGAACAAGUACAGUGAUGGAAAGAUGAAAAGAACUUUGAAAAGAGAGUGAAAAAGUACGUGAAAUUGUUGAAAGGGAAGGGCUUGAGAUCAGACUGGUGCUACAUAUGUUUUGCUUUCGGGUGGGGCCUCUAUGUGGUAUCGGGCCAGCAUCGGUUUGGACGGUAGGAUAAUGACAUUGGAAUGUGACUUUGCUACGGUAGAGUGUUAUAGCCUUUGUUGAUACUGCCUGUCUAGACCGAGGACUGCGUCUUUGACUAGGAUGUUGGCAUAAUGAUCUUAAGUCGCCCGUCUUGAA